UACGGAGGGGACUAGCGUUGUUCGGAAUUACUGGGCGUAAAGCGCACGUAGGCGGCUUUUUAAGUCAGGGGUGAAAUCCUGGAGCUCAACUCCAGAACUGCCUGUCAAACUGCGUGGCUUGAGACCAGGAGAGGUGAGUGGAAUUCCCAGUGUAGCGGUGAAAUGCGUAGAUAUUGGGAGGAACACCAGUGGCGAAGGCGGCUCACUGGACUGGUACUGACGCUGAUGCGCGAAAGCGUGGGGAGCAAACAGG
rnacentral:rRNA from 1 species